UACGGAGGGUGCAAGCGUUAUCCGGAUUCACUGGGUUUAAAGGGAGCGCAGGCGGAUUGGUAAGUCAGUGGUGAAAGGCUUGAGCUUAACUCGGGAACUGCCAUUGAUACUAUCAGUCUUGAAUAUUGUUGAGGUUUGCGGAAUGGGUCAUGUAGCGGUGAAAUGCAUAGAUAUGACCCGGAACACCUAUUGCGAAGGCAGCAGGCUAAACAAAGAUUGACGCUGAGGCUCGAAAGCGUGGGGAUCAAACAGGAUUAGAUACCCUGGUAGUCCACGCCCUAAACUAUGAUUACUCGACAUACGCGAUACACUGUGUGUGUCUGAGCGAAAGCAUUAAGUAAUCCACCUGGGAAGUACGACCGCAAGGUUGAA
rnacentral:rRNA from 1 species